AGAGUCCCUGGCCAACAGGCACACACUUGUGGGUUGGAGACCCUAUGUCCUUGUCUCUCCCUUCCUGUAUUUCAUUCAUUAGUUCACAGAUUCAUUCAGUCACGCUCUCCCUCACCGCCUGACUCCAUCAAAGCGUCAACUCGGUUCCAGUUUGCUCCUGUAAUCCUCACGGAGUAGACAUUUCACAGAUAUGGAUGGAAUCUGAGGUGAGGUAACGCGUAUGAGGACCCCUAAUCUCUCUUCGGUACCUGGGGUACGACAGAUGGGCUCGGAUUUCGAAGACCUGCAUUUUAGUCAGAGCUCUGGCCUUUGGUAGCGUUGUUCCCCGGGGGUGUCUCUCUACCUUCUCUGGGCCUGUCGGCGGUACAACGGAGGAUGAUGUC
rnacentral:lncRNA from 1 species